rnacentral:lncRNA from 1 species
GGAUUCUAUCAGUUUGCUAAAAGAUUUGAUCUUUAAGCUUUAGUUUUCUUUUUUCUUGUAUAAGAAGGGUACAUGUUCCUGCAAGGAAGUCAAAACAUCUUUUUAAACAGAAAAUAUUUAUCGAUAGGCUAUGAAAAGCAGCACCAAAUGAGGCAGACAUUUAGAUUGGGUGUUCCAGUUGUGAGUCAGCCUUAGGGCCAUGGUGAGUGGCUGGGUUCUGUUCAUGUUAUGAAUGGGUUUUGCCUCCUGCUGCCUAGUUUUCUAACUUUGUCUUUAGUGCAAGUUUUCCCGGGUGGACCCACCCAUUCUCGACGAUGUGCGCUGCCUGGUCCUAUUGGAAAAUGCAGAGCUUGCCCAGGUGCAGGCUCAGACAGGUGUGGGGUGGCUCUGCUCCUCCACCCUGAACCAACAUGGCAUCUCCAUGGAGACCACCCCACACACUGAUCUCACGAGGAUAGCCACACCUGAGCACACAACCUUGGGUAGGGACCAGCUUUUCUUUUCUCUUUGGAAAAGAGAAACUGUGUGGGAGAAGGAUGAUUUUACGUGAGUGAAGCGUUCCCUGGCCCUCACACAGCCCAAGGACUAAUGUCUGCACGGGAGGGCGGUGCUCACGGCAGCCUUGGGGAUGAUGCGUGGACCUUCCAGUGGAGCUUGCCUUGGAAACAGGUCUUCCCAGCCUCAAGGAAAUGGCCAGCUGUCUGCCUCUGGCUGUCCUGUUCCCUCAUCACCAGCUUAGAAAGCCUCCAUGGUGUCAUACCGAAUAAAGUCCAGAUUCCUUCACAGGGGACUGCAGGGGAAGACAACAGACUCGAUGGCUUAGCUAAAGCAAGCCUGGUACUUCCCUCAAGCAGCUUGUGGAUUGCAGAUUCCUGCCAGGCCCUCCAGAACCAGCCCAAGGUCUCUUCCCCCAGAUCUGUCUGCUCUCAGCAUUUUCUCCAAAAAGGGAAAAGUGUGAGCGUGGAGCUGCCAUCUCCAUUUUACAGAAGAGGGACAAAUGCUCAGUGA